AUUGAACGCUGGCGGCAGGCCUAACACAUGCAAGUCGAGCGGUAGAGAGAAGCUUGCUUCUCUUGAGAGCGGCGGACGGGUGAGUAAUACCUGGGAAUCUGCCUGAUAGUGGGGGAUAACGUUCGGAAACGGACGCUAAUACCGCAUACGUCCUACGGGAGAAAGCAGGGGAUCUUCGGACCUUGCGCUAUCAGAUGAGCCCAGGUCGGAUUAGCUUGUUGGUGAGGUAAAGGCUCACCAAGGCGACGAUCCGUAACUGGUCUGAGAGGAUGAUCAGUCACACUGGAACUGAGACACGGUCCAGACUCCUACGGGAGGCAGCAGUGGGGAAUAUUGGACAAUGGGCGCAAGCCUGAUCCAGCCAUGCCGCGUGUGUGAAGAAGGCUUUCGGGUUGUAAAGCACUUUCAGUGAGGAGGAAAACCUUAUGACUAAUACUCGUGAGGCUUGACGUUACUCACAGAAGAAGCACCGGCUAACUCCGUG
rnacentral:rRNA from 1 species